rnacentral:rRNA from 1 species
AGUGAAUGCUGGCGGUAGGCCUAACACAUGCAAGUCGAACGGCAGCACAGUAAGAGCUUGCUCUUACGGGUGGCGAGUGGCGGACGGGUGAGGAAUACAUCGGAAUCUACUUUUUCGUGGGGGAUAACGUAGGGAAACUUACGCUAAUACCGCAUACGGCCUACGGGUGAAAGCAGGGGAUCUUCGGACCUUGCGCGAUUGAAUGAGCCGAUGUCGGAUUAGCUAGUUGGCGGGGUAAAGGCCCACCAAGGCGACGAUCCGUAGCUGGUCUGAGAGGAUGAUCAGCCACACUGGAACUGAGACACGGUCCAGACUCCUACGGGAGGCAGCAGUGGGGAAUAUUGGACAAUGGGCGCAAGCCUGAUCCAGCCAUACCGCGUGGGUGAAGAAGGCCCUCGGGUUGUAAAGCCCUUUUGUUGGGAAAGAAAAGCAGCAGGUUAAUACCCCGCUGUUCUGACGGUACCCAAAGAAUAAGCACCGGCUAACUUCGUG